GAUUGGCCACAGGAAGUCAUGUGGACUCUCCAUGAACGUGAACUUUUUAUUGUGGUUUUCUUAUACGCUCUGCUCCUUGUUGUAACAGUCCACCCAGUGCCAGUCCCUGUGGAACUGUUGCUAGCUUGGAGGCAUUUUGGAAAUAAUGAAUUUACUGCACCUCUUGGUCGCCUCCCCCUUUUCCACCCCUAGGGGCAAAAGGCACUACAUUUCCUUUGGAGCAAGCAAAGAAUAAGGAAGCGCCGAGUUCUCCACACAGCAUCACUGGAUCAGACAGAGGGAGUGAGAGAGGGAGAGAGAGAAAGGGAGAGAAAAAGGGAGAG